rnacentral:rRNA from 1 species
ACGUCUUUUCCGAGCGUUAUCCGGAUUUACUGGGCGUAAAGAGCAUGUAGGUGGCCUUUCAAGUUGGACGUGAAAGCUCCCGGCUUAACUGGGAGAGGUCGUUCAAAACUGGGGGGCUUGAGGUUGGAAGAGGAGAGCGGAAUUCCCGGUGUAGUGGUGGAAUGCUUAGAUGUCGCGAGGACCACCAGUGGCGAAAGCGGCUCUCUGGUUCAAUACUGACACUGAGAUGCGAAAGCGUGGGGAGCGAACGG